rnacentral:rRNA from 1 species
GAUGAACGCUGGCGGCGUGCCUAAUACAUGCAAGUCGAGCGAACAGACGAGGCGCUUGCUCCUCUGACGUUAGCGGCGGACGGGUGAGUAACACGUGGAUAACCUACCUAUAAGACUGGGAUAACUUCGGGAAACCGGAGCUAAUACCGGAUAAUAUAUUGAACCGCAUGGUUCAAUAGUGAAAGACGGCUUUGCUGUCACUUAUAGAUGGAUCCGCGCCGCAUUAGCUAGUUGGUAAGGUAACGGCUUACCAAGGCAACGAUGCGUAGCCGACCUGAGAGGGGGAUCGGCCACACGGGAACUGAGACACGGUCCAGACUCCUACGGGAGGCAGCAGUAGGGAAUCUUCCGCAAUGGGCGAAAGCCUUACGGAGCAACGCCGCGUGAGUGAUGAAGAUCUUCGGAGCGUAAAACUCUGUUAUUAGGGAAAAACAAAUGUGUAAGUAACUAUGCACGUCUUGACGGUACCUAAUCAGAAAGCCACGGCUAACUACGUG